rnacentral:rRNA from 1 species
AUUGAACGCUGGCGGCAGGCCUAACACAUGCAAGUCGAGCGAGCGACGGGCGGGUGAGUCAUGUAUGGGGACUGCCCGAUGGAGGUGAAUACCUACUGGAAACGGUGACUACUCCCGCAUACUGUUGGAUAACCCAUAUGGGAUUAGCUAGUAGGUAAGGUAAUGGCUUACCUAGGCGACGAUCCCUAGCUGGUCUGAGAGGAUGAUCAGCCACACUGGAACUGAGACACGGCCCAGACUCCUACGGAGGCAGCAGUGGGGAAUAUUGGACAAUGGGCGAAAGCCUGAUGCAGCCAUGCCGCGUGUAUGAAGAAGGCCCUAGGGUUGUAAAGUACUUUCAGUCGGGAGGCGUUACCGACAGAAGAAGCACCGGCUAACUCCGUGCCAGCAGCCGCGGUAAUAC